AUUGAACGCUGGCGGCAUGCCUUACACAUGCAAGUCGAACGGUAACGCGGGGCAACCUGGCGACGAGUGGCGAACGGGUGAGUAAUGCAUCGGAACGUGCCCAGUAGUGGGGGAUAGCCCGGCGAAAGCCGGAUUAAUACCGCAUACGACCUACGGGUGAAAGCGGGGGAUCGCAAGACCUCGCGCUAUUGGAGCGGCCGAUGUCAGAUUAGGUAGUUGGUGGGGUAAAGGCCUACCAAGCCUACGAUCUGUAGCUGGUCUGAGAGGACGACCAGCCACACUGGGACUGGGACACGGCCCAGACUCCUACGGGAGGCAGCAGUGGGGAAUUUUGGACAAUGGGGGCAACCCUGAUCCAGCCAUGCCGCGUGCGGGAAGAAGGCCUUCGGGUUGUAAACCGCUUUUGUCGGGGAAGAAAUCCUCCGGGCUAAUACCCCGGGGGGAUGACGGUACCCGGAGAAUAAGCACCGGCUAACUACGUGCCAGCCGCCGCGGUAAGAC
rnacentral:rRNA from 1 species